GCCGAGGUAGCUCAGUCGGUAGAGCAGAGGACUGAAAA
rnacentral:tRNA from 7 species